CAACAGCUGGAGGUUUGGCGCAGAGCCUCUGCUCAACACGUUUGCGGUCCAUGGCUCUUCCUUCUCAACUCUCCUCUCUCUCUUCUCUCUCCCCUCCGUCCACUUCUGCUCCUCCUCCUCCUCCUCUGCAAAUUCACCGCCGAAGGCGAAUUGCUCUCAGAUUCCGAGCUUCUCAUACUUCUUCUUUGGGCUCUUCGUCGAAUCCAGCGGGGCCCAAAGUCGUGGUCACCAGAGAACGCGGCAAGAACGGCAAGCUCAUCAGAGCUCUGGCUAAACAUGGAAUUAACUGUCUGGAGCUUCCCCUCAUUCAGCAUACACAGGGGCCUGAUAUGGGUAGGCUUUCAUCCGUAUUAAGUGCAGAUACACCAUUUGAUUGGAUUGUCAUAACUUCCCCUGAGGCUGGGUCGGUCUUUCUGGAGGCAUGGAAGGCGGCCGGGACCCCAAAUGUUAAUGUAGGUGUUGUGGGAGCUGGUACGGCGAGCGUUUUUGACGACGUAUUGCAGUUCUCCAAUCGAUCACUCAAUGUUGCCUUUGCACCCUCAAAAGCGACAGGUAAGGUUCUGGCUUCUGAGCUUCCAAAGAAUGGGGUAAAAUGCAGAGUCUUAUAUCCUGCUUCUGCAAAAGCUAGCAAUGAGAUUGAGGAAGGCUUGUCUAAUCGUGGAUUUGAGGUCACAAGGCUAAAUACGUAUACAACGGUACAAGUCCAGCAUGUUGACCAAAUGCGUUUACAGGAGGCACUUUCUACUCCUGUUGUUGCAGUCGCUUCACCUUCUUCGGUUCGUGCCUGGGUCAAACUUAUUAGCGAUUCAAAGUCAUGGAACAACUCAGUUGCCUGUAUUGGUGAGACAACUGCUUUGUCUGCAAAAAGAUUAGGCCUACAAAAUGUGUACUACCCAGAGCAACCAGGCCUUGAAGGGUGGGUUGACAGCAUCCUUGAAGCUUUGGGAUCACAUGAUCAGCUCUAGAAGGUCAUGUUACCAAGUUGUUUCUUUUCAGUUUUUACCAAGGGCUUGGCAAAUUGACGAGGAGGUAACAAGUUCAGAUUGGCAGCUGCCAGCUAAUGUGUAAACAAGGUGCAAAAGGAAGAUGAAGUUCUUAGAAGCAGCAUGGCAGAAAGGGAACCAUUUGAGCCAGACAUCGAGUGCUGAUAAAUAUCCAGUUCUCCGACCUCUUGGUUUCCUUGACUUUGAUUGUGAUCGCACCUGCUGGCAAAAUUAUUCGCGUCGUUGGAGUUCAAAGCAUGUGUCUAGAAAAACUCAUUUAUGCCCAAUAUACCUGUAUUAUCUGAAUUCAAGCAUUCCCGAUCUGCAAUCCACUGAAGCUUUGCAGAGAAGCCUUGGUGAGUCUUCUAGUAUAUGCAUCCGAGUCAUAUUGGCAUAUGUCAUAAACCCAAGGAAACUUCACAAGAAACACAAUGCAAUGCCUUUGAGGUUUGAUUACAGUUUGAUUUGUGUUCAUAUUCUUUGUGAAUGACUGGCAUAGAUAGCUUUCUCCGAUUACAAGUAUUAAGAGCCCUGAGGCUUGUGUUUGUCGCUGGCUUUGCCAUAGUCGGAGAAACUGGUUGAAAAGAAAACCCCAGCUGAGGAUUCUAGAAAGAUAACAUUUGCCAUUGCUAUUUCAGACAGGUAUUACUUUGAA